rnacentral:rRNA from 1 species
CGGAUGCGAUCAUACCAGCACUAAAGCACCGGAUCCCAUCAGAACUCCGAAGUUAAGCGUGCUUGCGCGAGAGUAGUACUAGGAUGGGUGACCUCCUGGAAAGUCCUCGUGUUGCAUCCCUC